CGAUCUUGGAGAAAAACCAUUUGUCUGUUCCGAGUGUGGUCAAACAUUUGGACGAAAGGGCGACCUGAACAUACACACGAUAAUUCAUACAGGGCAAAAAGCAUUUGUCUGUUCUGAGUGUGGUCAAAGAUUUGGACGAAAGAGCAACCUGAAUACGCACAUGAUAAUUCAUACAAGACA